rnacentral:rRNA from 1 species
GAUGAACGCUGGCGGCGUGCCUAAUACAUGCAAGUCGAGCGAACAGAUGAGGAGCUUGCUCCUCUGACGUUAGCGGCGGACGGGUGAGUAACACGUGGAUAACCUACCUAUAAGACUGGGAUAACUUCGGGAAACCGGAGCUAAUACCGGAUAAUAUAUUGAACCGCAUGGUUCAAUAGUGAAAGACGGUUUUGCUGUCACUUAUAGAUGGAUCCGCGCCGCAUUAGCUAGUUGGUAAGGUAACGGCUUACCAAGGCAACGAUGCGUAGCCGACCUGAGAGGGUGAUCGGCCACACUGGAACUGAGACACGGUCCAGACUCCUACGGGAGGCAGCAGUAGGGAAUCUUCCGCAAUGGGCGAAAGCUUGACGGAGCAACGCCGCGUGAGUGAUGAAGGUCUUCGGAUCGUAAAGCUCUGUUAUUAGGGAAGAACAAAUGUGUAAGUAACUAUGCACGUCUUGACGGUACCUAAUCAGAAAGCCACGGCUAACUACGUG